GGUCCCGCGACGACGCCGCUCGCGGCGCGCGGCCCGGGGGACGGCCCGGGGACGCGCGUCCCGACGAGCUCCGAACAACCCUCUGGGCGCGGCGAGCGCCAAGGAAUUAUCGAAGCGGAGGGGGCGGCCGCCCGGCCCGGUGCGGCGGGGACCGGCCGCCCGCCUGUGAAUCUYUUAGACGACUCUCGGCAACGGAUAUCUCGGCUCUCGCAUCGAUGAAGAACGUAGCGAAAUGCGAUACUUGGUGUGAAUUGCAGAAUCCCGUGAACCAUCGAGUCUUUGAACGCAAGUUGCGCCCGAGGCCACUCGGCCGAGGGCACGCCUGCCUGGGCGUCACGCCACCCAUCGCCCCCGCCCCCCACGCCCGGGGCGGGGAGCGGAGAAUGGCCGUCCGUGCCCGAGCCCUCGGCGCGCGGUCGGCGGAAAAAGGAGGACACCGUGCGGCGCGGCACGGCGUGUGGGGGUUGAGAGGCGAUCCGUCGCCGAUCGUACGCCGCGCCCGCAUUCCGCCGCGCGGAUCCACCCGCGGGACCAGACCCGCCCGCAGCCGCGGGCGCUCGGACCGCGACCCCAGGUCAGGCGUGGCCACCCGCUGAAUUUAA
rnacentral:rRNA from 1 species